rnacentral:rRNA from 1 species
CCCUUAGAUGUUCUGGGCUGCACGCGCGCUACACUGACACUAUCAACGAGUGCUCCUGGUUUGAAAGGAUCGGGUAAUCUUUUGAAAUGGUGUCGUGGUGGGGAUAGAUCAUUGCAAUUAUUGAUCUUGAACGAGGAAUUCCUAGUAAAUGUGAGUCAUCAGCUCACGUUGAUUACGUCCCUGCCCUUUGUACACACCGCCCGUCGCUCCUACCGAUUGAGUGAACCGAUGAGUAGUCCGGAUUGCGAUCGACCUCGGUUAAUCGCGAGAAGUUCCGCAAAUCACUUCACUUAGAGGAAGGAGAAGUCGUAACA